UACGUAGGGGGCAAGCGUUGUCCGGAUUUAUUGGGCGUAAAGAGCGUGUAGGCGGUUUGGUAGGUCCGUUGUGAAAACUCGAGGCUCAACCUCGAGACGCCGAUGGAAACCAUCAGACUAGGGUCCGGAAGAGGAGAGUGGAAUUCCUGGUGUAGCGGUGAAAUGCGCAGAUAUCAGGAAGAACACCCGUGGCUAAGGCGGCUCUCUAGUACGGUACUGACGCUGAGACGCGAAAGCGUGGGGAGCGAACAGG
rnacentral:rRNA from 1 species